rnacentral:rRNA from 1 species
CCAAUGGGCGAAAGCCUGACCCAGCAACGCCGCGUGGGGGAUGAAAGCCCUUGGGUUUUAAACCCCUUUUCCCAGGGAAGAAUAAUGACGGUACCUGGGGAAUAAGCCCCGGCUAACUACGUGCCAGCAGCCGCGGUAAUACGUAGGGGGCGAGCGUUAUCCGGAUUUACUGGGCGUAAAGAGGACGUAGGCGGCUUUUCAAGUCGGAUGUGAAAUUUCCCGGCUCAACCGGGACGAGUCAUUCGAUACUGUUGGGCUAGAGGAUAGCAGGGGGAGACGGAAUUCCCGGUGUAGUGGUGGAAUACGUAGAUACCGGGAGGAACACCAGAGGCGAAGGCGGUCUCCAAGGCUAUUUCUGACGCUGAGGUCCGAAAGCGUGGGUAGCAAACAGACUUAGAUACUCUGGUAGUCCACGCUGUAAACGAUGGACACUAGGUAUAGGGAGCAUCGACCCUCUUUGUGCCGAAGCUAACGCCUUAAGUGUCCCGCCUGGGGACUACGGCCGCAAGGCUAAAACUCAAAGGAAUUGACGG